AAAAAUAGAAUUACCAUAUGAUCCAAUAAUCCCACUACUGGGUAUUACCCAAAGAAUAUGAAAACACUAAUUCACAGAGAUGUAUGCACCCCUAGGUUUACUGCAGCAUUAUUUAUAAUAGCUAAGAAAGGGAUG